rnacentral:lncRNA from 1 species
AGUUAAAGCAAUUUAUAGCAAAGCCUGAGAACAGACAAUGAGAGGUGACUGUAACACUAGGGGGAGUGAUUGAGAGUUGGUCUUGCCUAGUAAAAAUCCACUCCAUCCUGACAGUGUCUCCAGAUAGGAAGGCUUCUACAAGCACUCGUUUAAGAAAGGAAUGAAUGGUCAAUAUGUACAGAUGAUCACUAGUACUGAGAGUAGAAUAUGGGUUGAUCUAACAACAGUGAGAACGAUAAAAGCAAGACUGGGUAUUGAAAGUCAAGACUGGGCAAGUGGAGCCCUUUCUUCACGUCAAAGUCAAGGAGAACCCUGUGCAUGGCAAGACAGAAGACUUCCUUUCGGUUUUUCCCAGAGGUUUUCCUAGCUCUGAUGAGGCCUCAGCUCCUUGGAGGAAUUGCUCACGUCACGAUCUGACCCCAGCUUCUCCCUUCUCACUGAUCUGACCCUUUCAUUGUGGCUGGAUUCUGUUCACUGGCCAGCAUCCUGCCGUAGUUGUCAUUUGUGGCUGGUGGAUGGACAAAGCUCAUGAGCUCCAUGAUGGUGCUGAAUACUCAGAGGUAGAAACUUCAUCUCUGCCCUCAAAGAGCUCGUGACAAAUGAGCACAUGUUUAGCUCAUGGAAAAUAGCUGGUGACUUUUGGAGAGUUCCUAAGAAUCCCCUGUGACACAAAUUCUAAGGCACAUAUCACUCAGGUCAGGACUUGGAGAUUAUUUGAGGUUUACUCAUGUUUCUUUUACUCUGUUGAGCACCCAAGAGGC